rnacentral:rRNA from 1 species
CUGGUUGAUCCUGCCGGCGGGCACCGCUAUUGGAGUUCGCUUGAGCCAUGCGAGUCGAGAGGGGUAAGCCCUCGGCGCACUGCUCAGUAACACGCGGACAACCUGCCCUCGAGACGGGGAUAAUCCCGGGAAACUGGGGAUAAUACCCGAUAGGUCUGGGAUGAUGGAAGGCUCCCUGGCCAAAAUCUUCCGGGGCUCGAGGAUGGGUCUGCGGCCUAUCAGGUCGUAGGGGGUUUUACGGACCCCCUAGCCGAAGACGGGUACGGGCUUUGGGAGAAGUCGCCCGGAGAUGGAUUCUGAGACACGAAUCCAGGUCCUACGGGACGCAGCAGGCGCGAAACCUCCACAAUGUGGGCAACCACGAUGGGGGAACUCCAAGUGCUUACACUUUUGUGUAAGCUGUUCUCGAGCCUAAAAAGCUCGAGAAGUAAGGGCCGGGUAAGACGGGUGCCAGCCGCCGCGGUAAUACCCGCGGCCCGAGUGGUGCUCAUUAUUAUUGAGCCUAAAGCGUCCGUAGCUGGCCGGGCAAAUCUCCGGGUAAAUCGGGCCGCUCAACGGUCCGAAUUCCGGAGACACUGCUCGGCUUGGGAUUGGGAUCGGGAGAGGGUGAAGGUACUCCCGGGGUAGGGGUAAAAUCCUGUAAUCCUGGGGGGACCACCAGUGGCGAAGGCGUUCACCUAGAACGAAUCCGACAGUGAGGGACGAAGCCCUAGGGCGCAAACGGGAUUAGAUACCCCGGUAGUCUAGGGUGUAAACGCUGCAGACUUGGUGUUGGGGGUCCUGCGUGGGCUCCCAGUGCCGGAGCGAAGGUGUUGAGUCGGCCGCUUGGGGAGUACGGUCGCAAGACUGAAACUUAAAGGAAUUGGCGGGGAGAGCACCGAAACGGGAGGAGCGUGCGGGUUCAAUUGGAUUCAACGCCGGAAAACUCACCGGAGGCGACGGAGGGAUGAAAGCCAGGCUGAAGACCUUGCCCGAUUCUCCGAGAGGUGGUGCAUGGCCGUCGUCAGUUCGUACCGUAAGGCGUUCUGUUAAGUCAGAUAACGAACGAGACCCUCGCCGUUAGUCGCAAUCUUACAAGCGAUUGUAGGAGCACACUAGCGGAAUCGCUGCCGUUAAGGCAGAGGAAGGAGAGGUCUACGGUAGGUCCGUAUGCCCCGAAUCUUCCGGGCAACACGCGCGCUACAAAGGUGGGGCCAAUGGGACCCGACCUCGAAAGGGGGAGGCAAUCCUGAAACCCCAUCGUAGUCUGGAUCGAGGGCUGUAACUCGCCCUCGUGAUAAUGGAUUCCGUAGUAAUCGCGGGUCAACAUCCCGCGGUGAAUGUGCCCCUGCUCUUUGCACACACCGCCCGUCAACUCAUCCGAGUUGGGUCGGAGUGAGGGUGCCUCAUCCGGGGCGCUCGAACUUCGGUUCAGCAAGGGGGAGUAAGUCGUAACAAGGUAGCCGUA